rnacentral:sRNA from 1 species
CUAAGGGCAAAGAGGCCGUAGAAACCAGAGAAUCCAGGUUCCAAGUCUCUGCUUGUGAGGAGCCGGGCAGCGCCAUGGGUUGAAGUAUCUUCCAGAGCGCUUGAAUCUGAACUUUGCUCCCAGCGAUCGAUUGUCACCGGGAAGAUGAAUCCUCCUUGUCUGGCACCCCUUACCGAAGAGGUAGUGUUCUCUCAAGUCUACCAGUCGCGCUUUUCUACCCUCUGCUUCAGUGAGACAGGGAUCGUCUGUGGAGACUGCAAUCCUUGCUCCGCAGCUCUUGGUCUCCACAAAGUCCCCACAGCUGCCAGGAGCUCACCAGGUGCUGCAGACCUUUCCCACCUGUACUCAGCCUCUAAAAAAGCGUUUAAAGUCUGA